rnacentral:rRNA from 1 species
UACAGAGGUCUCAAGCGUUGUUCGGAUUCAUUGGGCGUAAAGGGUGCGUAGGCGGCGCGGUAAGUCGGGUGUGAAAUCUCGGAGCUUAACUCCGAAACUGCAUUCGAUACUGCCGUGCUUGAGGACUGGAGAGGAGACUGGAAUUUACGGUGUAGCGGUGAAAUGCUUAGAGAUUACAUGGAAUACCAAUUGCGAAGGCAGGUUACUACCAAUAUAUUGACGCUGAUGGACGAAAGCGUGGGGAGCGAACAGG